UGUAAUGUCAGCUACAGGUUGGCACUGGUAUUCUCCUGUGAGACCAGCUUUUAUUAGCCUGUAUUGGUUUACAUUUUCACAAACUGGCACCAUUAAAAGUAUGCCGAAUUAGCUAUUAGUAGCUCCCGUUUACAGUGUACCCAUGGAUGUAGAGACAACUGUCACUGGAUAGCUGUGAUGCUGAAGAAAACUUUAAAAAGUGAUGAUUCUCGGGCAAGUUCUGAAGCGUCUUUUUUUUUCUUCUUCUUCUGAUUUCUAAGCGGUUUUAUGGGCGUUUUUCGCGAUAUCCGUGGUACCCGGACGAGCUUGUCCCGUACUUUGACUAGUUACCUUCAAAUUUAAAGUAUGACAUCUUGGAAAAAUGUUUAUUUACUUAAUUGCCGAAAGUUAGCAGACAACCGGCGGAGACUCCAGGAACUUUCUGGUCCCAGCCAGACGAAUCAAGGCCGGACGUUUAAAGUGUUCAGCCCCUCGGUCGGAGAUGAGAGAGAGGAUUCAUAGACCUACAGUACAUACGGCACCCUGCGCUGCAGCCAGAUGGAACGCAUCUUUUUUUUUCUCUUUUUUUUUUUUUUCUCAACAACUCCUGGUUUCCAGUCAGUGUGAACCUAAACAAACCAACAUCAAAAACUGCCACGGAGUAAACUUUUCCACUCUGGUUUGGACCAAAGAGAAAAAAACCGUAGCUAAGCAGACACACACACAGACGGCGUUUCCGGUGGUCAGGAUGCAGAUGGGACCUGCGGAUAGUUUUUAGGGAUGGGAUUGAGGUCUCUGAACGGCUCCGAAAGGCGUGGACCCUGAAAGCGGGUCAGCAGCGUUGUCCGGCGGAUGCUGCUAUCCGAAUCCUGGUGGCCGAACCUGCUCCUGAGCCGGCGGUAGCACGGCAGGCUGCCGGCAAAGUCCGAGAGGAGGUGGCCGCUGAAGAUCAUGUAGAUCCAGGGGUUGCAGCAGCUGUUGAGGCUGGCCAGCAGGGCGGAGAGCGUCACGGUGGUGUUCUCAGAGUCUGCAGGGAAACAGGAAGACAUAUGAGGCACGCUCUGAGAUGUGAACAGCUGAUCUGAGGUGUUUACUCUUUCUCUGGAGGGAGUCGUGCUUUAGCUCUGAGUCACCGACCCGCCUGUUGAAUGUUUAUUCUCACCUCCAGCGCCAAUUUGAGCCUUCCUUGGUAAUCAUUGGUAAUCAUUUACAUUUUGGACUUUAGCACUGAAGACUGCUGACAAUAUUACAUAGUAUUGACGAAUUUUAAAAGGAAAAAUAAAACUCCUAUUAAUACGUAGUAAUAAAUUUAGGCCUGUCUCCAGUUUUAACUAAAUCCAACAGUCUUGUUGGUUUAUCUGAAAAGUCUCAGUCCUUCUAUCUGCAAUCCUGGUGGCAUCUGUAUGUUUGAAACAUUUGUGUUUGUCAUAGUAGUGUGGAUCAAGAUUCAGAGAUCCGUCCUGAUAAACUGGUCAAAGUUUGAUUUCAGUGCACACGGAAAGGGAUGCUUUUUCCAACACUUUUAAAAUUUUUGGAUUUAAGCCGCUGCUGCCGCUGCUGCUACAAGGACGAGAACGCUACAUCCCUCUGAAAAUGCAUUACCGUCAGGGUCAAAAAGCUCAAAAAUGUCUGAAAGCAGCACUUGGACUGUCAUGAGUCAGUAAGACUCUCUUUGCAAGCCAUGACGAAAUUCCUCAAGUGGGUGAGCAGCUCCUACAGGCUGACUGA